CGCUCACUCGCUCGCCCACGUGCCACGUCCCACCUCCGCGAGCACGCACGCCGAACGGCGCCUCCUCGCACCGAUCAGCGCAGCGGCUCAGCGCCCGCCAGCCGCCAUCAGGCAGCAGCCUCGCCUCUGGCCAUUGAAGCACACGGAAUUGUCUCUUUCACCUGGGCAAUCCGCGGAGAGGUACGGCGCGCAUAGCUAACCAAGGAGGCGUACGAGCAGCGUGCGUAGCAGGCAACCAUGGAGACGCCGCGCCUCGUGGUCGGUGCGGCGUCGCGGGCCCCGCCACCAGCUCCUCGAUCACAGCGACGGCGUAUCCUGCGUCCGUGCGGCGGGGCACAUUGCUCCCCCUCCGCCCGCGCUGCUCCACCGGUGCUUCUAACCCGGUGCUCCUCCUACUCCUCUUCCAGGGAGGGGAACGGCGAUUCUCAUGGUAAGGCCCGCCGCGAGAGCUCCGGUUCCGUCCGGUUGGACGUCGAAGCAGAUAGCGAUCAGGUACCAAGUUUGGCUGACGAGCAACGUGAGGGUGAUAUUACAGAGCUCUUCAACCUGGCUCAACGGAAUAUCCUGUACAUUAACAAGCAGCGGCUUAUUGCCAUGGAGGAGAUGAAGAAACUGCAUGAUGAAAAUAAUUUGCUUCUCGAGGAAAUACAAGGACUAGAAACAGAAAUGCAAGGUAUUCCCCUAGAAGCAGCACAGUCGUCAAGUUUCAGUGAGUUACUCCUGCGGAUAGAUACAAUGGUCAUUUCUGGAAUGAUCAGCAUGACGGAAGCAUCUGAUUUAAGAGAGAAACUUGUCACUAAUAGAAGCAUAAUACAAAGCACCUUUUGUGAUAUUCAUCAUAAGCCAAAUACUGAAUUGCUGUCUGAACUGCAACUCUUUUUGCGUAAACCAAUAGAGAAACCUCUUCAUAUUGUGCACAUCUGUAGUGAAAUGUACCCAGUAGCAUCAUGUGGACCAUUAUCAGCAUAUGUUGCCAGUUUAUCUUGUGAGAUUCAAAAAAAGGCUAACUUGGUGGAGGUGAUACUACCCAAGUACACCAGCAUAAACUUGGAUGGAAUUCAUGGUCUAAGGAGAUCUGAGGCAGAAUAUGAAUCUUAUUUCGGUGGCCUUUGGCAUAAAAAUAAAAUAUGGACUGGUACGUCAAGUGGUGUUGGUCUUGUAAUAAUAGAACCAUCUCAGCUCUCCUAUUUUAGUCGUGAUAUGUUACGUGGCUACCCUGAUGACUUUGAGCGAUUUUCCUAUUUUUCCCGUGCAUCCCUGGAUUAUAUUGUUAAAUCUGGAAAGCGGCCAGACAUUAUACACAUACAUAACUGGGAAACUGCUAUAGUGGCACCGCUUUUCUGGGAAAUAUUUGCUCACCAGGGACUUGGGAACACUCGGAUAUUACUGACAUGCCAAGACUUGAAUUCAGAAUGCCUAGAGGAGCCAAAUAAACUGGAGAUGUGUGGGCUUGAUCCCCGUAAGCUUCAUCGUCCUGAUCGUCUGCAGGAUACAAACAAGACACAUCUUGUUAAUAUUCUUAAGGGAGGCAUUGUUUAUUCAAAUAAAGUCGUUUUGAUGUCCUCAACACAUUCAAAAGAUGCUCUUAUUCAGGGUUCACGACAUGAGCUGCAAUCAACAUUAGCCGCACAUAGGGAGAAGAUAUUGGUUGCAUCUUAUGGAUUGGAUGGUGAACUUUGGGAUCCAUUCAAAGACAUUUAUCUUCCUCGAAGGUAUUCUGCCAAUGAUAUUGAGGGGAAGUCCAUUUGCAGACAAGCACUUAGGCGUAGACUUCGGUUCAAUGGUGAUUCAUCCAUUAUAGUAGGAUGUAUCUGUGAUGAUAAUUCAGAUGUCCAUAGUCUUAAAGAAGCAGUUCAUGUUGCUCUGCACAGGAAUACUCAGUUGCAAGAGUUUAUAAUGUACAGGUCAUCAUCAUGGAAACGUUAGGGUCUGUUGUGAACUCAAUUUUGCAAGCAUUAAAGGGAGAGAUAAAGGGAGACAAAAUAGCAUUUGUUGAGGCAUAUGAUGAAGCUCUGGCACAUUUAAUAUAUGCAGGCUCUGAUAUCAUUCUUUGCUCUUCCUUCCAAGAUCCAUCACUGCAAAUAGCGAUGAAGGCAAUGAAGUAUGGAUCUGUGCCAGUACAGUUAAACUUUUCCAGCGAUGAAUCAAGGGAGUCAAAGGGGCAUGAGUGCCGCAAUACAGUAAUGUCUCAGUACAUCAUCUCAACCUAUGGAGAUUUGUCUCUUUCUCAAGCACUUGAUGACUUUAAAAAUGACCCUUCGCAUUGGGAUCGACAGAUCAAGGAUGGGAUGGCUAGGGGUUCUUCAUGGGACGCAAAGUGCUAUAGCCUUCAUUGGGAGGCUUAUUCAUCCAUAACGAAGCUGUGAACUGGGCAUCUGCUAGAGAAGCACAUGACCUACAUGAGGCACCAUCUCCCCAAAUUAAGGGUACCAUUUUUUGGCAUAUAAUUAGACUAUCAUUUAAUUUCUUAGAUGAACAUUUAAUCAAGCAAAAGGUCAGUGAAUAAAAAAUGGUAUGUAGAGCUGCACUGGAUUUCACAAUAUUUCCAAUUUACUAUUUUGAGUGUGCGUUUUUAGGAACAAGCAUGAACAGUGUCAGUGCACUUGGCACAUACACAUCAUUCUGGACAAACAAACAGUACCCCUCCGUUUUAGGGGCCUUUUUAAA